AAAAUGUUAAUGCAUAUAUAGAAGGAUGUAUGUAGACAUAUUAGGUGUUCUGAAAUGGAAUGGAAAUAGUCAUAUGUUGGAGUGAAGGGAGUAUACUGUAUUUAUCUAUUAUGUUGGUUGUUAUCUAAUUAAAGUUUUAGGUUUUAGAGGUUGAAAUUUGGCUGCACAAUUUCAUUUUUACUUUAAUGGUUAUGAAAAUUAAUUGGGAAGAG
rnacentral:misc_RNA from 1 species